CAAAACAGCUAAUUGAAGAUCUUCAUUACCUACUAAGACACAGUAAUGCCACCGUUGACUUCACUAAAUGUUUGUGGAAUAUGCUGGUCUAGGAAUUUAAAAAACUUCUGUGAAUCUGGUUUCUCAAAUUUGCAGAAGGCAGUGACACAGUUCAGAGGACCAGAUUCCUUUAAUAUUCCAAAAGGAGCAAAACUUCUACAACCAACUGUGAAAUAUGACCAACUGAUCCGAAAGCUUUAACACUUUCAUCGAGUCGCAAAAUGCUGUACAAAAUUGUGGAAUAUUGUCAACUGUAUUCGUCGUAGGCGUUGUAUUUGCAGGGGCUCUCUUUGGACUGCUGAUUGGUAUUUUCUUUGG